CAAUAGCGUAUAUUAAAGUUGUUGCAGUUAAAAAGCUCGUAGUUGGAUUUCUGGUGGGAGCGAUCGGUCUGGCGCUUAGCGCGAGUACUUGCAUCGUCUCCGGCCAUCCUUGGGGAGAGUCUGUCUGGCAUUAAGUUGUCGGGCAGAGGAUCCUCAUCGAUUACUGUGAAAAAAUUAGAGUGUUCAAAGCAGGCUUAUGCCGUUGAAUAUAUUAGCAUGGAAUAAUAAGAUAGGACUUUGGUACUAUUUUGUUGGUUUGCGCACCAAAGUAAUGAUUAAUAGGGACAGUUGGGGGUAUUCGUAUUCCGUUGUCAGAGGUGAAAUUCUUGGAUUUACGGAAGACGAACUACUGCGAAAGCAUUUACCAAGGAUGUUUUCAUUAA
rnacentral:rRNA from 1 species